UCCAGUCUUAAAGCGUACAGACUCGGUAGAGGCACAGUGUGAAGCACCUGCCUGGGAAAUGAACGCCAUCUGAUAGGUCCUAUAAAAAGACAGUUUUGAGCCACUCAGUUACAAUCAAAAAGCCCACAACCUGCACCAUCUUGUAUCUGAAAGAAAGUGAUAAUGUAGCAUAUUCCUUCUCAUCCAGGGCCAAGACGCUAGGAAUGUUCAAGUUUUGUCAGAUAUUCCAAUGUAAAUAAAUGUCUCCACCCAUUGUAAGUCUAGUUGGAAGUAUAUAUACACCAGAUAAAAUAGGCCAGUGGAGAAUAACAAAGCCAUGAGAGUGAUACUAUUCUCCUUUCUCUAGAAAUGCCUGAAUUUUAAAUUUUAUCCCCUUUUUUUCCUUACUAACAAUUCAUGUUACAAUUUUCAACAUGACAGUAACAAAAACAAAGGUUUUUUACUUUUUUAGGAAGGAAAAGAAGAGGAGGAAUUAUUAGGAUUUUUUCUUUCCUUUCUGGUAGAGUAAGGAUUCAUGGUUCCAUGGCCAUCCUCAUUCUUCUGCUGAGGACUUAGGGAACCUCAGAUAUUUUGACAGAUUUGUGAUUCCCCAUCUUGUGAUUCUGUGGCACCCUCAUCUUGGUGGCUUGGUAAUACAUUCCAUGGUUUUUCAUUUAAAAUCAAAGAUUUUGGCGUCAGAUUCACAUACAAUAAACUGAAAAAGCUCGGGUUCCAUGGAAGAACAGACAAUAAUUCUGUUUUAUUGAUCCAAUCCGCUACUUGACAUCAUACAGUAACAGAACACGAGUCAUAACUGUAUACAAAAAGCCACUAGGCUGGAAUUUUAUCAGCAUCGCAAGAAAUCAGGCAAAAAAGCAAGCACACAGUUGACUGUAACUGACGAAGAACCUUACUUCACUAAGAAGCGAAAUUUACCGUUCGAAACGGAAAAAAUGAAGCACUUGUCACAAAGAUGACAGAACGAUCAAACUUAUUAUAUUCUACCAGAAACUUAAAAAAUUGACAAAAAUAUUCUAUCAAGCUUUGGAGAUAAACAAAACACAAAUGGCACAUAGCACCAACCUGAAAUUACAGAAGGAAGAAAACUCACACAUCGCAGUACUCUACUUCAAUAUCAGAAAUAUCGUGUAAAAUUAUAGUCAACACCUUCGAAUUGGUUAGCAAAGAAUAUUCCGCAGAAAUAAACACAAUAACACGAAUCCCUACACGUAAAAUUGACUAAAAAGAAAACAGAAUUCCUCGGAAGAACAAAGGAUUCAACAACCACCUGAAAUUCCACGGUUUGAAGCUACGAUGGCGUAGAAUCCGAUUUGGAUACAGGCAAAAUGUAGAGGAAAGAUGAUAAUCCAAGCGGAAGGGAAUUGAGUGAGAGAAUCGGGGAGGAUGAAGUAUUGGGUGUUUCAAUAAAAGAGCAACUGAAAUGAGAAGAAAAAGGUGUCAGGUGCGGGUACUAAAAUAGUGGAGCGGCACCCCGCACCAUAUUGUUCCUCCAUGGUCCACUUGCUUCCACUGACUGUUACGUCAGCACUCGAAACAGUCCUAUCUCC
rnacentral:lncRNA from 1 species